rnacentral:lncRNA from 1 species
UGUUAUCCUGUCCUCACUCUUCCUGGGCUUAGCAGAGGUCAUGUUCUUGCUUGUGCUUUCUGCUAAGUGAGACAAGACCUUCAUGCCUUCCUCUCCAGCUUCUCAGUAGAGGCAUGCAGAACAUACCCAAUGUCACAAACAAACCUCGAGUGGGAGCAUUUUGACUUCUGAUAGUGGAGUCCUAUAAAUGAUUUCUUCCACUUGCCUCGGACCUUACUAACCAUGAAGAGCCUAGGAGUCAUCCUCUGGACAAGACUUUUGGACGGGUUUCGUACAAACUCAAUUUUAAAAAUGACUUCCUAAUGAGGCAGAUUUUGCUGAGGAAAAGGCACUGGCAAGCAAGAAGCCAGGAAUCAGAUGCUGGCUUGAAUCCAGAGGCUGAUGUGGGCCCAAAACCUGCCUGAAAAAUGGAACAAAGGGAAGACAUUGGCCUAAGAGAACACAAGAGAUGCUGCUAAGGUCAUUUAUAGCUUGUAGAAGACUACAAGUAGUCUCAUUUCAGCCAGGACUGGAUACAGGUGAUAAUAGACUGAAAACCUGCAGUACCUGGAAGUACCUGGAAGUUCUUUUCUUCAGAAGUCAAAUCUGCCAAAGCCUUGCUUGGUUUUAGUUGUCCCAGCUUCCAGUAUUUUGAAAAAAUGGAUUUCUGCUGCUGUCUCUAAGAUUUGUUUUUGUUUUUUGUUUGUUUGUUUUAUGUGUUUUGUUUUUUAAUGCUAUUUCUGUUAUAGCAGUCACACUGGACUAAGUCAUAAGAAUGAAGAAUCAAUAUUUCUUGAAAAUCCAUAUCUGAGUUGGUAGUAACUUACCCAGCUUCACAUCGAUGUGUCAGAACGUGCCCUACUUAUUCGCCUCCUGCUCUCUCUUUUUCCCUGUCCCUCGCUAAGUGUUUGCCAGCCUGGUUGAAGGAAAAGGAUGUUUGGCUUCAAGGAGGCAUUCAGAGAAAGCCCUAGAUACUGUCCUGCCUGCUUUUGAAGAAAAAGGAUUAUGUUCUGGGAUGUAAGGAAUUGAAGUAAGAAGUGAUGAAGGAAGGGAGAGAAGCAGAAAGGGAGGAAGAGGUAUUGACUUGAGAUGGGAUUAAAAGAAACAGCAGAAAAAAGCAGGUCUUACAAGAAGAGAAAAAAUGGCCAAUAGAUGAUGAAGAAGAAGAAGAAGAAGAAGAAGAAGAAGAAGAAGAAGAAGAAGAAGAUAUUAUUAUUAUUAUUAUUAUUAUUA